GAUGAACGCUGGCGGCGUGCCUAAUACAUGCAAGUCGAGCGAACAGAUAAGGAGCUUGCUCCUUUGACGUUAGCGGCGGACGGGUGAGUAACACGUGGGUAACCUACCUAUAAGACUGGGAUAACUUCGGGAAACCGGAGCUAAUACCGGAUAACAUUUGGAACCGCAUGGUUCUAAAGUGAAAGAUGGUUUUGCUAUCACUUAUAGAUGGACCCGCGCCGUAUUAGCUAGUUGGUAAGGUAACGGCUUACCAAGGCGACGAUACGUAGCCGACCUGAGAGGGUGAUCGGCCACACUGGAACUGAGACACGGUCCAGACUCCUACGGGAGGCAGCGGUAGGGAAUCUUCCGCAAUGGGCGAAAGCCUGACGGAGCAACGCCGCGUGAGUGAUGAAGGGUUUCGGCUCGUAAAACUCUGUUAUUAGGGAAGAACAAAUGUGUAAGUAACUGUGCACGUCCUGACGGUACCUAAUCAGAAAGCCACGGCUAACUACGUG
rnacentral:rRNA from 1 species